rnacentral:rRNA from 1 species
GACAUAGGUGGCGAACGUUAUCCGGAUUUAUUGGGCGUAAAGGGCUCGUAGGCGGUCUGUUGCGUCGGGCGUGAAAACUCAGGGCUUAACCCUGAGCCUGCUUCCGAUACGGGCAGACUAGAGGUAUGCAGGGGAGAACGGAAUUCCUGGUGUAGCGGUGAAAUGCGCAGAUAUCAGGAGGAACACCGGUGGCGAAGGCGGUUCUCUGGGCAUUACCUGACGCUGAGGAGCGAAAGUGUGGGGAGCGAACAGG